CCUACGGGAGGCAGCAGUGGGGAAUAUUGCGCAAUGGGCGAAAGCCUGACGCAGCGACGCCGCGUGAGGGAUGAAGGUCUUCGGAUCGUAAACCUCUGUCAGCAGGGAAGAACGGUCACUGUGCUAAUCAGCAGUGAAUUGACGGUACCUGCAAAGGAAGCACCGGCUAACUCCGUGCCAGCAGCCGCGGUGAUACGGAGGGUGCGAGCGUUAAUCGGAAUUACUGGGGGUAAAGCGCUCGGAGGCGGUAUUGCAAGUAAAGGGUGAAAGCCCCGCGCUCAACGUUGCAACGGCCUUUGAAACUGGCAAACUGGAGUGGGUGAGAGGAUAGUGGAAUUCCAGGUGUAGGAGUGAAAUCCGUAGAUAUCUGGAGGAACAUCAGUGGCGAAGGCGACUAUCUGGCACAUAACUGACGCUGAGGCGCGAAAGCGUGGGUAGCAAACAGGAUUAGAUACCCCGGUAGUC
rnacentral:rRNA from 1 species